rnacentral:rRNA from 1 species
ACGUAGGGGGCGAGCGUUGUCCGGAAUUACUGGGCGUAAAGAGCACGUAGGCGGGAACUUAAGUCAGGUGUGAAAGACCGAGGCUCAGCCUCGGGGUGGCACUUGAAACUGGGUUUCUUGAGGGCAGGAGAGGAAAGCAGAAUUCCUGGUGUAGCGGUGUAAUGCGUAGAAAUCAGGAGGGAGGCGAGUGGCGAAGGCGGCUUUCUGGACUGACACUGACGCUGAGGUGCGAAAGCGUGGGUAGGAAACAG